CAACCCCAUCCCCAUCCCCAACGCAACCCCAUUCCCAUCCCAAACCCAACCCCAUUCCCAACCUAACCCCAUCCCCAUUCUCAUCCCCACUCCCAACCCAACCCCAAUUCCCAUCCCCACCCCAUUCCCAUCCCCAACCCAACCCCAUCCCCAUUCCCAACCCCAUUCCCAUCCCCAACCCAUCUCCAUUCCCAAACAGCCAGCUUCAAAAAGUAGAAACACCAUCGACUUCACAAACAUACUGCAAAAAUACACUUCUCAAACGACGCAAUCACUUCUCACUUGUAAAACUAUAAUCGCUGCGAGUACGAUGAAUACAGUAUUAUGGGCUGCAAAGCGUGCCGUAAGGCUGCUGUGUUCGGAUAAGAGACCCUCAGCAGAAGAACAGCACAGUUAGAAAACACCAGAGAAACCAGGGCCUGCACACAGGGCUGGAUUGUCUCACGCUGGGGUAGGCUGGGAUGCAAUGGGCCGGCAUCGGGAUGCUCCCUUCCGUCCUCAUUCCACAAUGAUCUCUGUCCAAGGAUGAGCAGAUGCCCAGAAGUCAUGGCCGAGUGCUGAGCGAGCAAGUGGGAGAAGUGAAUUAAUUAGCCAUAGACAUGGUUAGCUAGCAGCAACUGACGUUCAGCCAGUACCUCUGUGUUUGGUGGAGCUCAGUCCUCCAGCACCCCAGUAUCUGAGCACCCAAGUCCUCAUCCCAGUAUCCCAGCACCCCAGUCCCCCCGUAUCUCAUUAUCACAGCACCCCAGUCCUCCAGCACCCCAGUAUUCCAGUCCUCCAGUACCUGAGCACCCCAGUCCUCCAGCACCCCAGUAUCUGAGCACCCAAGUCCUCCAGUAUCCCAUUAUACUGGCACCCCAGUGCCCCGUAUCCCAUUAUCACAGCACCCCAGUCCUCCAGCACCCCAGUAUUCCAGUCCUCCAGUACCUGAGCACCCCAGUCCUCCAGCACCCCAGUAUCUGAACACCCCAGUCCUCCAGUAUCCCAUUACGGCAGCACCCCAGUCCUCCAACACCCCAUUCCUCCACCAUCCCGGCCCCCCGGUCCUCCAGCACCCCAAUAUCCCAGUUCUCCAGCACCCCAGUAUCCCAGCACCUCAGUCCCCCAGCACCCCAGUCCCCCAGCACCCCAGUCCCCCAGCACCCCAGCAUCCCAGUCCCCGAGCACUCCAAUCCUCCAACAUCCCAGUGUUCCAAUGCCCUAAUCUUCCAGUAUCCUAUUAUUCCAGGCCCCAAGUCCUCCAGUACCCCAGCCGUCCAGCACCCCAGUCCUCCAAUAUCCCAUUAUUCCAGCACCCCAGUCCUCCAACACCCCAAUAUCCCAGUCCUCCAGCACCCCAAUAUCUGAGCACCCCAGUCCUCCAGUAUCCCAUUAUCCCGGCACCCCAGUCCUCCAGCAUCCCAGCACUCCAAUCCUCCAGCAUCCCAUUAUUCCAGGCCCCAAGUCCUCCAGCACCCCAGCUCCACAGUCCUCCAGCACCCCAGUCUCCGAGCACCCGAGUCCUCCAGUAUCCCAUUAUCCCGGCACCCCAGCCCCCCAGUUCCUAGUCCUCCAGCCCCCCAGCACCCCAGUAUCCCCUCCCCCCUCACACGGCGGCUCCGUUCCUCUCCGCUCCGCUGCGGCCCCUCCGCUCGCAGGCGCAUCUCUCCCCUUUGACUUCCGCUUCCGGGUCACCCUAACGGUCGAGGGCGAUCACUUCCGGCUCACAGCGCGGGAAGGAGGAGGGGAGCAAGGGCGAGCGGCGCAUGCGCGGCAGGGAGAGGAGGGGGCGUGGCCUAGGGGAAAGGGGCGUGGCCUGGGAGAGGCCACGGAGGCAGAGGGAGGGGGGGGAAUGGAAGCGGAUAUUAUGGGAUGGAAAUGG
ensembl:lncRNA